GUGCUCGCUUCAUCAGCACACAUACUAAAAUUGGGAUGAUAGAGAAGAUUAACAUGGCCCCUGCCCAAAGAUAACAUGCAACUUUGUGAAGCAUUCCAUUUUUUU